GUGACCUCAAAUCGGGUAGGACUACCCGCUGAACUUAAGCAUAUCAUUAAGCGGAGGAAAAGAACUAACAGGAUUCCCCUAGUAACUGCGAGUGAAGCGGAAAG
rnacentral:rRNA from 1 species